AUUGAACGCUGGCGGCAGGCCUAACACAUGCAAGUCGGGCGGUAGCACAGAGAGCUUGCUCUCGGGUGACGAGCGGCGGACGGGUGAGUAAUGUCUGGGAAACUGCCUGAUGGAGGGGGAUAACUACUGGAAACGGUAGCUAAUACCGCAUAAUGUCGCAAGACCAAAGUGGGGGACCUUCGGGCCUCAUGCCAUCAGAUGCGCCCAGAUGGGAUUAGCUAGUAGGUGGGGUAACGGCUCACCUAGGCGACGAUCCCUAGCUGGUCUGAGAGGAGGACCAGCCACACUGGAACUGAGACACGGUCCAGACUCCUACGGGAGGCAGCAGUGGGGAAUAUUGCACAAUGGGCGCAAGCCUGAUGCAGCCAUGCCGCGUGUGUGAAGAAGGCCUUCGGGUUGUAAAGCACUUUCAGCGGGGAGGAAGGCGUUAAGGUUAAUAACCUUGGCGAUUGACGUUACCCGCAGAAGAAGCACCGGCUAACUCCGUGCCAGCCGCCGCGGUAA
rnacentral:rRNA from 1 species